rnacentral:sRNA from 1 species
AUGGCUGUCGUCAGCUCGUGUCGUGAGAUGUUGGGUUAAGUCCCGCAACGAGCGCAACCCUUGUCCGAUGUUACCAGCGGGUUAUGCCGGGGACUCGUCGGAGACUGCCGGGGUCAACUCGGAGGAAGGUGGGGAUGACGUCAAGUCAUCAUGCCCCUUACGUCCAGGGCUGCACACAUGCUACAAUGGCCGGUACAACGGGCUGCUAUCCCGCGAGGGGGAGCCAAUCCCAAAAGCCGGUCUCAGUUCGGAUUGCAGUCUGCAACUCGACUGCAUGAAGUCGGAGUCGCUAGUAAUCCCGGAUCAGCAACGCCGGGGUGAAUACGUUCCCGGGCCUUGUACACACCGCCCGUCACACCACGAAAGUCGGCAACACCCGAAGCCGGUGGCCCAACCCCUUGGGGAGGGAGCCGUCGAAGGUGGGGUCGGCGAUUGGGGUGAAGUCGUAACAAGGUAGCCGUACCGGAAGGUGCGGCUGGAUCACCUCCUUUCUAGGGAGAAACAUGGCAUCGGUUCUACGGAACCGUUGGCAUUCCGAUUGAGUCUAACUCUCGGAAUCCUAGAGCUAAUGUUGAUUUGGCUUCUUGGUGUCGGUAGACACGUCACAGUAUCUGGUCUUCAGGGCUUCAGGCCCUUUGCACGCGCCCUCAUGGGGCGCGUCUGCACCUUGAAAGCUGCAUAGCGCGAGAUCAGAUCACGAAUGAUAUAGAUCAAGAUAUUAAGGGCACACGGUGGAUGCCUUGGCGCUAGAAGCCGAUGAAGGACGUGGCAAGCUGCGAUAAGCCUCGGGUAGGUGCACACAACCGUCAAUCCGAGGAUGUCCGAAUGGGGAAACCCGG